rnacentral:rRNA from 1 species
UCGGGAAUUUUGGGCAAUGGGGGCAACCCUGAUCCAGCAAUGCCGCGUGAGUGAAGAAGGCCUUCGGGUUGUAAAGCUCUUUUGUCAGGGAAGAAACGGUGCGGGCUAAUAUCCUGCACUAAUGACGGUACCUGAAGAAUAAGCACCGGCUAACUACGUGCCAGCAGCCGCGGUAAUACGUAGGGUGCAAGCGUUAAUCGGGAUUACUGGGCGUAAAGCGUGCGCAGGCGGUUUUGUAAGUCUGUCGUGAAAUCCCCGGGCUCAACCUGGGAAUUGCGAUGGAGACUGCAAGGCUAGAAUCUGGCAGAGGGGGGUAGAAUUCCACGUGUAGCAGUGAAAUGCGUAGAGAUGUGGAGGAACACCGAUGGCGAAGGCAGCCCCCUGGGUCAAGAUUGACGCUCAUGCACGAAAGCGUGGGGAGCAAACAGGAUUAGAUACCCAUGUAGUCCCUGAGCGGGCUGGCAAGGCGCAU